rnacentral:rRNA from 1 species
AUUGAACGCUGGCGGCAUGCUUUACACAUGCAAGUCGAACGGUAACAGGCCGCAAGGUGCUGACGAGUGGCGAACGGGUGAGUAAUGCAUCGGAACGUGCCCAGUCGUGGGGGAUAACGCAGCGAAAGCUGCGCUAAUACCGCAUACGAUCUCUGGAUGAAAGCGGGGGACCGAAAGGCCUCGCGCGAUUGGAGCGGCCGAUGUCAGAUUAGGUAGUUGGUGGGGUAAAGGCCCACCAAGACAACGAUCUGUGACUGGGCUGAGAGGACUACCAGCCACACUGGGACUGGGACACGGCCCAGACUCCUACGGGAGGCAGCAGUGGGGAAUUUUGGACAAUGGGCGCAAGCCUGAUCCAGCAAUGCCGCGUGCAGGAAGAAGGCCUUCGGGUUGUAAACUGCUUUUGUACGGAACGAAACGGUCCGGGUUAAUACCCUAGGCUAAUGACGGUACCGUAAGAAUAAGCACCGGCUAACUACGUGCCAGCAGCCGCCGUAACAC